GACGAACGCUGGCGGCGUGCUUAACACAUGCAAGUCGAACGGUAUCUACUGAGUAGCAAUAUGAGGUAGGUAUAGUGGCGGACGGGUGAGUAACGCGUGAGCAAUCUGCCUACAAGAGGGGGAUAACACCGGGAAACCGGUGCUAAUACCGCAUAAGACCACGACCUCGCAUGGGGAUGUGGUAAAAGGAGCAAUCCGCUUGUAGAUGGGCUCGCGUCCCAUUAGCUAGUUGGUGAGGUAACGGCUCACCAAGGCUGCGAUGGGUAGCCGACCUGAGAGGGUGAUCGGCCACACUGGAACUGAGACACGGUCCAGACUCCUACGGGAGGCAGCAGUGGGGAAUAUUGGGCAAUGGGCGAAAGCCUGACCCAGCAACGCCGCGUGAGGGAAGAAGGUUUUCGGAUUGUAAACCUCUGUCCUUGGGGACGAAAAAAAUGACGGUACCCAAGGAGGAAGCCCCGGCUAACUACGUGCCAGCAGCCGCGGUAAUACGUAGGGGGCGAGCGUUGUCCGGAAUUACUGGGCGUAAAGGGUGCGUAGGCGGUUGCCUAAGUCAGAUGUGAAAUCCCCGGGCUUAACUCGGGUGGUGCAUUUGAAACUGGGUAACUAGAGUGCAGGAGAGGGAAGCGGAAUUCCUAGUGUAGCGGUGAAAUGCGUAGAUAUUAGGAGGAACACCAGUGGCGAAGGCGGCCAUCUGGCGCUGAACUGAC
rnacentral:rRNA from 2 species